UACGAAGGGUGCAAGCGUUAAUCGGAAUUACUGGGCGUAAAGCGUGCGUAGGCGGUGAUUUAAGUCUGCUGUGAAAUCCCCGGGCUCAACCUGGGAAUGGCAGUGGAUACUGGAUCGCUAGAGCGUGAUAGAGGAUGGUGGAAUUCCCGGUGUAGCGGUGAAAUGCGUAGAGAUCGGGAGGAACAUCAGUGGCGAAGGCGGCUCUCUGGAACGGUACUGACGCUGAGACGCGAAAGCGUGGGGAGCGAACAGG
rnacentral:rRNA from 1 species